CGGCGCUUGAGGCUUUUUGCCUCAUGUGGCCGGUCGUGAUGCUGGUUUGUAGUGAGGCAGAAAGAAGAAAGCCCCGUAAGUUAAUUUUCAUUAACCCACGAGGCUCAUCCUAUGCAUCAACAACAUCAGGAUAGCCCCUUACCCGCCGCAAGGCAAGGAGCCACAGGCUAUGAAA
rfam:Triticum urartu cultivar G1812 contig1441501, whole genome shotgun sequence.